AUGCUUGCAUCAGCCGUACAUGUGCUAAAACCGGAGCGAGGCAGAGGAGAUGAGUGUGGCUCCUGCAGAAGGAUGACAAGCAAAUUCGUGAAGCGUUCCAUAUUUUU
ensembl:snRNA U6 U6 spliceosomal RNA